rnacentral:misc_RNA from 1 species
UGGGUUUGACAUAUACGAGAAGCCUCUAUCUCUAGAGGCUUCUCGUAUAUGUCAAACCCAGGUAAGGUUCUUCGCGUUGCAUCGAAUUAAUCCGCAUGCUCCGCCGCUUGUGCGGGCCCCCGUCAAUUCCUUUGAGUUUUAGCCUUGCGGCCGUACUCCCCAGGCGGGGCGCUUAAUGCGUUAGCUACGGCACGGAUCCCGUGGAAGGAAACCCACACCUAGCGCCCACCGUUUACGGCGUGGACUAC